rnacentral:misc_RNA from 1 species
AGCUCUUUCUAGGCACCAUGCAAAAGGUGAAUUGGCAUUAGAUUAAAUCAAACACCCGUGUCUGAGUGAGUGCCAUCUUACAAAGCAAAAAGGCUAUAUAAUCAAGUUGUAUAAAGGAUUUGCAAGUUAAUACACACAGGAGCAGAUCGAAUCAUAAACCAUUAACAAAGGAAAAAAAAAUAAAGUAUAGCCGGAUUAUUGUGACAUGAAACAACAGUGAGUUUCAAGAAUCUUCAUCCGGCCAAGAAAAUUCAAUAUUGGCUCUAUGCGGCAGACGGGUCACCAUGAAUUGGUGCCUGCUGUUGACUCAGGUUCAGAGCCAUUAACAAACAAAACCAGAUUGCAAGUUAGAUACACCUGAAAGUUAUUCUCUGAAAACUUUGGAAACCCUCAAUAGAAAAAAGAGCUAAAUUCCACUUCUUUUGAAGUAUCUAGAGAUUAUACGCCUGCAAACUACAGAGUUCCUACCAAACAGAGUUACUUAGAGGCAUUGAAAU